AACCAGGUGGCCUAGUGGUUUGAGUGUUGGGCUAUGACUCUGGAGUCCAGGGUUUAAAUCCCAGCUCAGCCA